rnacentral:rRNA from 1 species
UACGGAGGAUGCGAGCGUUAUCCGGAUUUAUUGGGUUUAAAGGGUGCGUAGGCGGACGCUUAAGUCAGCGGUAAAAUUGCGGGGCUCAACCUCGUCGAGCCGUUGAAACUGGGUGCCUUGAGUGGGCGAGAAGUACGCGGAAUGUGUGGUGUAGCGGUGAAAUGCAUAGAUAUCACGCAGAACUCCGAUUGCGAAGGCAGCGUACCGGCGCCCAACUGACGCUGAAGCACGAAGGCGUGGGUAUCGAACAGG